rnacentral:lncRNA from 1 species
CUUCCUGCCUCUCUACAUCCUGUCUGUCCAUUGUCCAUAAUAGUUUUAUUCAUCAACCAAUAUGAUAAACAUAUAUUCAUAACAUACAGAAGGACAUUCUCUUUCAAUUUUCAUAACCACAGGCUUUGCCCUGAGCUCUGUGGAUUUUCUUGAGGAGCUACUGAAACUUUUCAGUGUGUUUCAAAGCCAACCCCCUUUCUCUCCAUGAAGGACUACUUUUAUUAUUUUUGUUUUUAUUUGGGGUUAUGUAUUUGUUUGUAUGAAUGCAGGUAUCUGAGGAAGAAAAUAGAGUGAAAGAUGACCUGGACCUAGAAUUACAGGGAAUUUUGUGAGAAGUCUGACAUGGUUGCUGGGAACUGAACUUGGGUCACUGGGAAUUCCAGUAUACACUCAUAACUCCUAAACCAUCUUUACAUCCUGGGGACUCUUUUAAUCCAGAGGAAAUAGUUGCACAAAGCAAUCUGUGAAUCAAUGAAGGAAUAUUUGAAGGGGAUUUUCUGACACACCUAUAAUGCUUUAUAACAGAGAAUAGAGAUUUUAAAGUUGACAUCUUACCAAAAGUACAAAGAACCAGGAAAAAUUCAACAUUACCAGUAUAAUAUUUUACUGACAGAAAACAUCGGGGCAUCAAUUGUUAAUCAUAUAAUCUUCAGUGAAUACUAACAAGAAAAACAAACCAAGUUAGCUGCACACACAUGGCAUGUUUAACAGAAGCAUUAAGGUUGACAUGGAAAGGGAAGCUCUGUCUUUAAAUUGGCAUUUUCACACCUGAUUUGUGAGUUACAUAGACUCUUAAGAGUGGUUUCAUAUUGGCAUAGGUAAGCAAUGUCAUGAUGCUACCCAUACAGACUUCUAAAAGAAAAAGAUGCCAUUAUGGAAGGUAUUAUUUUAUUAUGAAAAUAGUGUGAUAUUAGGAGCUAUUUAAAUCUGUGCAGGCCCUGCUAAACAUAUUUUCUGUAGUUAACUAGUUAUACAACAAAUCCAAAAAUCAAAUCACUACUUUUGUCAUUAUGCAUCACUGGAAAUAUUUUCUAGUUUCUAGAGUAAUUAAAAUUGUCUCUGUACCCAUUUUUUUCUGUAAGAUUACACCCAAUCUCAACAUCAACAAACUCACUGUCAACAGCACUCAUUUCAGCCACCUUGAAAUUGCAAUCCUAGCAGCUUUAGCUUGGUCAGCAUGUAAGUAAAAGGGAUAUAGCUUUGUGAAUUAAAUUUAAAACCCCAGAACUUUGAGAUAUCCUUUGGCAAGGAUAAAGCUACAGAAAACCCCUCUGCACAAAUUCCAGAAAAUAAGAUUUUUUUCUUAUCAUUAAUAUUUUUUACUUGUCCACCAAGAUUCAAAUAUAUUUUCUUUAUUCACUGGAAUAUGUACAGUGACUCUAAUAUAUUUAUUUUUGAUGUUCUAAUCAUUUUGAUAGACUGGAAAAUGCUUUUUGAAAUUUUGUGAAAUAUAAAGGCAACAUGAAACCCUAGCAAAACUAAUACAGGUGAAAAUUAUCAAACAGCUUACUUGCUAUGUGCUAGGCACUAAAGAUACAGAAAUGGAAAUUCAUUAUGCCCUUUUGACACACAGCUCACAUGUAAGUCUACAAACAAGGAUUACACUACCAAUCCGUAAUAUCUCAGUGAUUGGUACCUCAAGAUAGAUGAACAAAUUCUGCUUUAUUCAAUAAGUUCAUGUUUUAAUAUAAUAGUCAAAAUCUGUGAAAAAUACAAAUUAAUCAUUAUUAUGUCUGUUUCAGGUACUUAAAAUGCUUUAUCUCUAACAGAAAGCAAUGAUAAAAAAUAGACAAAGAGAUAGCACAUGGGUGCUGUCAGGAUUAGUCCAGUUAGAGUGAGUGCAGUGUAGAAUUGAAAGCCUGGGAGCCUGGGGAUGUAUGUGCCACCUGUCACUCCCUUUUACCAGCUCUGAACUUGGUCAACUGCUUAGAAUAUUAUUGCACCAUUUUUCAAUCUCUGCCUGUGGCAGCUUAACAUAGUCACGAACACUCUCUUCCAUUCCCAUUUUACCCCCCCUUUCUUUUCAAUUUAAGUUAAUAUAGACUACCAUUUCUGAAGGUAGCCCUGAGGCCAAGGAGAAUAUUUAUAUCUGCUGCUACUCAGACAAUAACGGAGCCAAUAAAGAAUGUCAUAGAUUUUGCACUCUCCCCAUUAUGUUUCCUGGCUUCCUGUGGGUAUUCUAUGAAAGACUGUGGGUGUUCUUAAUCAAGGAAACAUCAUAUUUCUUUUAUCAUUCUGUCCUUGUAGUGUUUUCAUUUAAACAGAUUUCUUGUCAAGUGAUACUGAAGUUUCAAUAAUAUUUUCUUUAUCCUCUGAAACAUGUACAAUAUCUCUAAUAAUAUAGUAUAUUCAUUUUCAGUAUUCAAAUAAUUUUGAUAGACUGGAAAAUGCAUUUUGAGAUUUUCCCUAAUAUAAAAGCAAUAUGAAACUCCAGCAAGACAACUGCAGGUAAAAUAGCAGGUAUCUUUCAAAUCUCCAGUGUGAACAGAAGAAAAGCCACUGAGAUGUUAAAGCUGGUUCAGUGCCUAUGGUUAACUGGAUUUCUUACACCUUGGUAUAGAGAACUCUUUCUGUCUGUGGGUCCAGGAAUCUAUAAUUCUUGGUGCUUCUAAAACUGACAAAUGGUAGGCAUACAUACAUACAUACAUAUAUACAUACAUAUAUACAUAGAUACACAUAAUAGGGAAAUUGAAUAAAGACAGAUUACAUACUGAAUAUGUCUAUAUAAACACAAAGUAAUGACUAUUUAAAUUGUUUCCACUGAAUCAUUUAAGAAUUAAAUAUAGGCCAGUGAGGCAGCUCAACUGGAUCUAGAUGUCAGCUCUUCCCUCCAUGUCUAGUUUAGUCAGAAUUUUUAGCUGUAGUUGUUACCUAAGUUAUUUUUUAGGUGCAAAGCUAAUGGGGGACAAAGAUAAAAAUGGACACUUUGAUUUGCUUAAUAAAGUUGCAAAACUCAGUAUGGUACAUGGUAUCCCUUUCCAAAAAUACUUGACUUAAGUUGGGUGAUGAUUAAGCUCUUCAGUUAAACUUUCUAGAAUGAUGCAUGAACUAUUAUUCUGUGAUUUUGGGGCAAGCACAACAUUAACACAGAGAAACACAUAUCAUUAAGUAGAGUCAUUAAGUGACUACACCAGUGACAAACCCUUUAUGUGGGCAUUCUUUGAUUGAUGUUGUUCAUGAGUGGUUGAUCAAAAGAUAUGCAGGAGAAUAUUAACAAUAUUUUCUAUUUUGAUUUUAAUAGUCAUACAUUUACUCUCAUGGAGUAGGCCUUGAGACCAGUCAGAAUGCAGUUGGUUUUGUCCUUAAGAUGGCUAAUAUUGAUUGUCAACUUGACAUACCUAGGAAUAGAGAACAUCAGUGGAAGAACUGCCUUAGUUGGAUCUGCCUGUUCUUAUGUCUGUGACACAUAUUCUUAUCUUUACAUUUUAUGUUUUUAUAUUUAGAAUUACAGCAGUUCUCCCUUCCCUUUCCUCCCUCCAGAGCCUCUUACACAACCCUCCUUACUCUUUCAAAUUCAUUGCAUUUUCUUUCAUUAAUUGUUAUUGCAUGCAUAAUUAUUCCUAAAUAUAGCCUGCUUAGUCUGUAUAAUGCUACAUGUAUGCAUGUAUUCAGUGCUGGCCAUUUGGUAUUGAAUAACCAAUUGGUGUGCUGAUGUAUGCUUUCCUGGGGAACUUCACAUCUCCUCUCAGCAUUCCUUAGUUGCCUGUAGUUUUUUGUAUAGGGUUGAGGCUUUAUGGUUUUUCCCCAUCUACUUUAAUGUGUCUGUUUCUGUUGUCCUUGUUCAGCUCAUGUUUGAGGAGUCAUGUUAGUAUAAUUUUAUUGCAUUAUUAAGAGACACAAUCUCAGAGCAAAUUCUCCAAUCUUCUGAUUCUUACAGUUGUUAAUUCAAGUAAGAAAAUCCAACCUAUUAUUAAUGAUGUCAUCCCCAGAGGGAUGGGCCUGGAUUGUGAGAAAGGUCUGGAAUGAAGAUGCUUGGCAGCCUAGUCUUCAUCCUUCUAUGAGAAAUGUAGGCAACACUGGGAAAAUUGCUGGAUAUUUCCAGAUGUGUGUGAAAAGAGAGAACAUGGAGGAAAUCACUGCCCAAACCUGAGGCACAAAGAGAGAGAUGGCAAAGACUAUUUCUGCCAUCAGGGAAAAAUAUAUCUGCCUUCACAAAUAUUUAAGACUAGGUAUCAUUAAUGAAGAAGUCAAGAAAUCAUCAGAUUCUAUCACUGAAAAUAGAAUUCAAAACAUUAAAAGGAACAUCUCUAGAAGCAGAGCAAUAAUAAAUGAAGCUGUGUUAUUUGAAAAUUACCCAAAUUUCAUCAAAGUCAAAAUGCCAUACUUGAAUUUGUCAAGAAACAAUUACAAAAUGUGUGAAACCCUGAUGGGGGAUGUUCUUCUUUAUGGUGUGAAUAUAUGUCUUUCAUAUUGGUUAAGGAAUAAAGCUGUUUCAGCCAAUGAACAGGCAAAAUAUAGCCAAGCAGUAAGUAUAGGCGGGCAUACCAGACUUACAGAAUGCUGGGAAGAAAGACACAGAGAGAAUCUGUAGCUAAUGAGAAGACAGGAUGCUCAGAAUUCUCCAGUAAUAUAAGGUUACAUGGAAAAACACAGUUUAAUAGAAAUCGGUUAAUAAUUAAAAGAGAGAUAGCCAAUAAGAAGCUUUAGCCAUUCACCAAACAGUUUAAAAUUAAUGUUUGUGUGUUUAUUUGGGUCCAAAUGGCUUUGGAACCAGGCAAUGCAGAACCUCCAUCUACAAAUCCCUAUAAUGGGGAGUUCAUAAGAACAAUAAAAGUCUCUGUGUCUCUGGAAUAUUAAAUAAGAUUUUAUUGAAAAAAACCAAGUAUUUGAAAUUUAUUUCCAUCUUAAUAUUAAUAUAUUCUAACCAAUCUGAUGUCAUGGUCAGAAGACAAAUAAAAUCAAAACAAACAUAUUAAUAAUGAAAAAGUAUCACCAUCCUGGAACAAUAUGGGCAGGGGCAAUUAUAUAGGUUUUGAGUGAUACACUGCUGUUGCAAGAUUAGACACAGGA